GCAAUGGCAGUGUAAAGGACUCAGUUCUCUGGCCUGUCUACUCAUUUGCAAAAUUAGGGAGCUCUUUGUGAAUGUCUCCAGGAUUCUCCUUGUUCAUUCUGCUGUUCAUUCUGGCGUCCUGACCCACUCCAUGCAGAGGGAGCUCUAGAGCUCAGCUUCGUUCCUCAUUUCCCUUCCAAGGAGAGCUUAGAGGUACAGGGACCUUCCCACUAUGGGCAGCCAUGUGCUGUGCUGGGUGGCCUUCUGUCUCCUGGGAGCAGGAACCACAUGUGGUAGUAUCACUCAGACCCCAAAAUACGUGCUCAGAGAGGAAGGGCAAAGUGUGAACCUGGAAUGUGAACAGAAUUUGAAUCACGAUUCCAUGUACUGGUACCGACAAGACCCAGGGGAAGGGCUAAGACUGAUCUACUACUCACUAGUAGUACGUGAUAUUCAGAAAGGAGACCUAGCUGAAGGCUACAGCACUUCUCGGGAGAAGAAGCCAUCCUUCCCUCUCGCAGUGACAUCCACCCAAAAGGACCACUCAGCUCUCUAUCUCUGUGCCAGUAGUCUAGGCACAUUGUAUUGGGACCUCUCCAAGGUCUCCUUAAGCAAUAUGAGAGUCUUUGAUUGGGAGAUGGAUGUAGCUUCAAUCACUGGCAAACAUCACCACCAGGAGGCAGACUGGAGCAUCUUUAGGAUUAUGUCGUCAGUCAUCCAUGGUCCAGGAGGCUCAUAG